UGGGGAAUAUUGGACAAUGGGGGCAACCCUGAUCCAGCCAUGCCGCGUGAGUGAUGAAGGCCUUCGGGUUGUAAAGCUCUUUUGGCGGGGACGAUGAUGACGGUACCCGCAGAAUAAGCCCCGGCUAACUUCGUGCCAGCAGCCGCGGUAAGACGAAGGGGGCAAGCGUUGUUCGGAAUUACUGGGCGUAAAGGGCGCGUAGGCGGUUUGCUUAGUCAGGCGUGAAAGCCCUGGGCUUAACCUGGGAUGUGCGCUUGAUACUGGCAGGCUUGAGUGUGGGAGAGNUUGGUGGAAUUCCCAGUGUAGAGGUGAAAUUCGUAGAUAUUGGGAAGAACACCGGUGGCGAAGGCGGCCAACUGGACCACAACUGACGCUGAGGCGCGAAAGCGUGGGGAGCAAACA
rnacentral:rRNA from 1 species